CUCAGAGACCCACAAAUUAUACUACCUGUUGCAUUUCAUUCAGUUAAAUAUGUAAAGUGCAUUUUUAUUCUCUAUAUGUUUGACUAACUGCCUUGUAAAGUGUUAUAAUGAAAUUGAAUAUCAUUGUGUCCUUAUAAUAGAGAAGUAAUUCAUUUGAAGCAGACAGUAAUGCUAAGUAAUAUUUUUGUUAUUAAAUGCAAUUAUAAAAUAUUUCUCCUAAUAUUUAACUUAUUUGAGGGGGAUGUUGAGUGAAAUCUCCUUUAUUUUACUAAGUUGUAGACCCGAGUACCAGACAGUCAUAGUAUCUCUUUGUUCCUUUUAAAGCAGAAAAACAUAGGCCUUGCAUGGAAAUUCUUAAGAAAUGUCAAAGAGCUAGUCCUCUUGGAAAGGGCUUGCGGUCUGAAUACAGGGCCAUCCAAGGAACUUGUGGGGCCCCUGGCAAAUGCCCUUUGCUUCACGACUCCUUUUUAGAAAGUACUUCACGCAAGUAAUUUGACAUGAGGGGAUCUUGAAGGCGGUGAAUUCCCGUGGCAACACUGACUUCCCGGUCACUGGAGGUGUUCAUUUGGGCACAGGUGUUCAGCCGCUUGGAACCAUUCUUUCAUUAAAAAACAAAUAUUUAUUAAACACCUCCUUUGCCAGGCACUGAGAUACUCACUAGGAGUUCAAAGUUGAAAGGCAUGCUCUUAGCAAGGGUCCAUAUUAGUUAGGUAUCAGGUAUGCAGUUUUAAUCCAAAUGCUGACUAUUCCAAUGGAAAAUAGAGAGUUUAACUAUCAAACUAUUGUAUGGCCUAGAAGAACUUUUAAAAUAUUGUCUGAUUUCUGAGAGUCUUUGAAUUCCCUUGUAAGACUUCUAGAGGGAUUUUUAGAAGAAAAAAAUGAGAAUGGUCUUUGAAACCCGACAGAUCUGGAUUAAAAACCUGGCAGUGCUACCUCUGAGCUUUGUGAAUCUUGGGCAAAUCUCUAAACUUUCUGAAGUUCAAUUAGUUGUCUUUUUUUUUUUUUAACCUUUAAAAGGGGAAUAUUUGGAAGAGGGUUAAAUGUGAUAAUACAUAUAAAGUCCCAGCACCUAUUAGAAAUGAUGGGGUGAAGGAGUGUUUAGUGAAAAAUGAAGACUGAAUUAAGCACAGAUAUUUCAGGGUCUUUUUUUCCCCUCAAUAUAUGUGUCUGUGGGACUAGGGGGAUGAGGUGGGCAAGAGGUUUUAUAAUAAAGAAGUGAAAGGGAAGAAAAAUGUGAAGAUG
rnacentral:lncRNA from 1 species